UACGAAGGGUGCAAGCGUUAAUCGGAAUUCCUGGGCGUAAAGGGUGCGUAGGCGGUUCGUUAAGUCUGUCGUGAAAUCCCCGGGCUCAACCUGGGAAUGGCGAUGGAUACUGGCGAGCUAGAGUGUGUCAGAGGAUGGUGGAAUUCCCGGUGUAGCGGUGAAAUGCGUAGAGAUCGGGAGGAACAUCAGUGGCGAAGGCGGCCAUCUGGGACAACACUGACGCUGAAGCACGAAAGCGUGGGGAGCAAACAGG
rnacentral:rRNA from 1 species